CAGUGUAUGGGCAAAUGUGUGACUGUACAUUUCUCAGCUGUUAUGUUUACUGUGUUUAUGGGGAGAAUACUACAUCAUGUCUAAUGUAUAUUCACAAAAGCAAGGUAUAUAACACAAUGGCCUCUAACUAUACCCCUCUUACCUACUUAAGAACUCAGUAAAUGCUAUUAUAGUUAAGGGUUGUUUCAAUAGGGUAUGUCCUAUAACCUACAAAAUUUGGAUAGCAAUGACCAAGAGAGAAAGCAUUCUUACACUGUUUUGUGAAUCUUCUACAUUUUUAUCAGGUAUCUAAACAAUGUGGUAUCAAAACACGAUGCAAAGUUCCGCUUAUAUUUUCACAUGUUUUAAACUGCUUUCAUAACCAAAGUUCUUAUUUUGUAUAUAGUACUGUAUAUUUCUUCCGUGUGUGUAUGCCUUCACGUUAUAUGCCAACCCUCUGCCACAAAAUGGUUGUAACUAUUUCAAUUAAAGUAAUACUAAUGCACUACAA